GCCCUCUCCCAGAGGCCUUAGGGUGCAGCUGGGGUGGGGGUAGGGUGGCGCCCCUGCCCAGGAAUAGGAGGAGCCUUUGACGUUCGCUAGUUUUGGGCCGGUUUCCCUCGGAUCCUGGAGCAGUUUAUUGCCCAAAGACUGUCACAGAGCCUGGGGCUAGCCAAUGGUUACUGUUAGCUCAGCCUGGGUAUGGCGUUUGGGCCUUCACAUCCUGACAGGGGUAUAUGGAAUCCAGGAAAUGAACCCACGAGAGGGGUCCUUCAACGCCUGAAUAAGGAGCUAACCAGUCCAGCCAAGCCUGGAACCUGACUCUUCCUGGACUGUGAGAAGAACACCCCUGCCAACAAGCUGUACCAUCCGGAUAGGAGAAGCCUGAUGGUAGAAGCACAUCCGUGGUUCCCAGCCUCUGUUGACGAGGCUCCUUUAACACAAAUAGAUUUACUCAUAGACCUUAACUGUAAGAGGCGUGUAUGUGCCAGCAGGGGUUUCUGGGAACAUGUACUUUGUCAGAGCUCCCCCCAUUUAAUUCUGAUACAUCCCCAAGUGGCUGUUACCUAAAGAGAACCAUUAUGAUGUGUUGGGUUUUUGUUUGUUUGUCCGUUUGUUUUUUUCCUUUAAAUGUGGUAGCUCAGCCCUGGGAAUUUGCCCUUGUGAAUAUGCCCAUGUCACAAAUGUGUGAAUAUUGGGUAUCUGUGUCAUUGGAUAAACACUGCUUCAUGCUCCUC